GUUUAGAGCAGAAACUGCUGACAGAGUGAAUUGAAUGAAACAAAAGAUGCCCAAUUACAAGACAGUGUGAGUGUGUAUGAGGGUACAUACAGGACCACAGGCAGCAAACACACAAUACGUCAGAACCCCAUGUCUGACGCCUGACUCCUCAUCUCUCACCCAAGACCUUUUCAGCCUGGGUGCCCUCCAGGUAGGAUUGGUGAUAGCAGCCUCGGAGGGGAUGAAGAAUGAGAGAUAAAUGCCAGAGGUACAAUGAACCCAGGAGGUGCCUGGAGGUAAAGGACUCACCUGCCAAUGCAGGAGACUUAAGAGAUGUGGGUUCCAUCCCUGGAGAAGGAGAUGGCAAUAUACUCCAGUAUGCUGGCCUGAAGAAUCCUAUGGACAGAGGAGCCUGGUGGGCUAUGGUCCAUAUGCUCACAAAGAGUCAGACACAAAUGCAGUGAAUUCUCAUGUACACAA
ensembl:lncRNA